UUUUGCGUCCUGCCUGUACAUUCCGAAGUUCUGUGAAAAGAGGCACUAGCGCUCAGCCACGCAAGGCAGGAAAACAGAGGAAGUUUUCGCAUUCUGAUUGCAGCCUGAGUUCCCCGGAGCAAGGCUGCUUCUCUCCACCCACUCCUCACCAAGAACUCCUGAACUUGAGGGUGGACGACUUCAAAGCUAGCUCCCACAGACUCACCUGGAAAAGAGUUCAGCUGCGCGUUCAUUGAACCGAGAGGCCAGAUCACCUAUGUGAGGCGGUGGGAACCAUAUGGAGAUUUAUAUUAGAACUUCAGCAAAGUGCACAGCUGCAGCCGGCAGAAGCCAGCUCUCGGGCUGACAGGCAAAUGAACCAGAUCGUGGACGGGGCCUCUGGGUGGCAGCUCCGGCCUUUUGGUUGUUGGACAACUAUAGUCAGAACUGAAAUGGAACAGGGGCAGGAGAAAUAACACACUUUUACUCCACGCAACUGUUGCUUUCACAUGAUCUUCAGGAAUGUAACUGGGAUAAUUGUCCAAAUCGAAUCCCAUGCCCUGUCAUGGUGAGUAGAACCAUCUAAGAUGCUAUUUUUUUCGUGUUUAUCUGUAAUUUUUUUCAUUGGUAAUCACAGUUUUCUGGUGAUUGGUAUAGGAAAUUCA
rnacentral:lncRNA from 1 species